AUGGAGCCUGAGGAAAAGCAGGGUCAGCUCUCGGCUCAGCUCGUGGCUGAGCCACCACGGCUUGGGCAAUUACACCGAUGUCUCAGGAAUGUAAGAGCAGUUGAAUGGGAUGGACCAGAGCGUGCUGAGCCCAGCAUCCUGCUUCCAUGUGGUUCACAGGCAGAGAAUAAAUCCGUAGCAUCUUUGAGACAAUAGUGGCAGUACAAGGAAAGACCACAGGAUAUUCCCAGAGAGUUACCGAACAGCGACCGUCUGUAAGUCCUUACAGCAGCAAAGGGAUUCAAGUAAAGCUGUUUUAAACAUGCUAUUUUGGUAAUGUGGUAAAACGCCUGUAUUGACUCAAAUGGCAAAGCAGAGAAGGAGGGCCCACGGGGCUACGAGUGGGACUGAGAUGCAUUAGCAGCAUUGCUGCGGGAAAACCUUGUCCUAGAGACAUCUCAAAUUCACAUUUCCAGCCUGCCUGGGUGCAUUUAGAGAGAAACACAUUUCUCUCUAAAAGAGACUUCUGGCUUGAGCUCCUUUGAGGAAACCACCCGUGCUCACCACCCAGAGCCGUGUCCGCUCCCAGUUCCUCGAAGGGCCAGAAGUCUCCUGAACACCCAUCGAAGUGUCUGGCAUCGGGAACAAGGAGCUUGUGCGGCAUGGAGGACCCUCAGAUGCCUUAUCAGGCACCAAUACAAGGAGAUGUUUUAUCAGAUAGGAGGGGAAAAAAGUUGUUUCAGAGCCAACAUGAGUCACAGAGGCACCGCUAGCGCUGCACAGCCCUGCUCAGGUUAAUAAAAUGCCUGCCAGAGCCUGGGUGGCUCA
rnacentral:lncRNA from 1 species